UACGUAGGGGGCUAGCGUUAUCCGGAAUUACUGGGCGUAAAGGGUGCGUAGGUGGUUUCUUAAGUCAGAGGUGAAAGGCUACGGCUCAACCGUAGUAAGCCUUUGAAACUGGGAAACUUGAGUGCAGGAGAGGAGAGUGGAAUUCCUAGUGUAGCGGUGAAAUGCGUAGAUACUAGGAGGAACACCAGUUGCGAAGGCGGCUCUCUGGACUGUAACUGACACUGAGGCACGAAAGCGUGGGGAGCAAACAGGAUUAGAUACCCGCGUAGUCCCUGAGCGGG
rnacentral:rRNA from 1 species